GCCAACGUGGCUCAGUGGUAGAGCAGCUGUUUCGUAAACAGCCGGUCGUGAGUUCGAUUCUCACCGUUGGCU
rnacentral:tRNA from 1 species